ensembl:snRNA LOC120098041 U1 spliceosomal RNA
AUACUUACCUGGCAGGGGAGAUACCAUGAUCACAAAGGUGGUUUUCCCAGGGCGAGGCUUAUCCAUUGCACUCCGGAUGUGCUGACCCCCUGCGAUUUCCCCAAAUGCGGGGAAACUCGACUGCAUAAUUUGUGGUAGUGGGGGAUUGCGUUCGCACUCUCCCCUG